UGCUGUUGUGCCGACUCACGAAGGGCCGUAUUUAUUAGAUAUCAGCCAAUAAGCAUCUGCUAUUGUGGUGACUCAUAGUAACUUAAUCGGAUCGCAUGGGCUUGUCCCGCGACAAACCAUUCAAGUUUCUGCCCCAUCAUGCUUUCGAUGGUAGUGUAUUGGACUACCAUGGCUUUCACGGGUAACGGAGGAUUAGGGUUCGAUUCCGGAGAGGGAGCCUGAGAAACGGCUACCACUUCCACGGAAGGCAGCAGGCGCGUAAAUUACCCAAUCCUGAUUCAGGGAGGUAGUGACAAGAAAUAACGGGCCGGG
rnacentral:rRNA from 1 species